rnacentral:rRNA from 1 species
AUUGAACGCUGGCGGCAGGCCUAACACAUGCAAGUCGAGCGGAUGAAGGGAGCUUUCUCCUGGAUUCAGCGGCGGACGGGUGAGUAAUGCCUAGGAAUCUGCCUGGUAGUGGGGGAUAACGUCCGGAAACGGGCGCUAAUACCGCAUACGUCCUGAGGGAGAAAGUGGGGGAUCUUCGGACCUCACGCUAUCAGAUGAGCCUAGGUCGUAUUAGCUAGUUGGUGGGGUAAAGGCCUACCAAGGCGACGAUCCGUAACUGAUCUGAGAGGAUGAUCAGUCACACUGGAACUGAGACACGGUCCAGACUCCUACGGGAGGCAGCAGUGGGGAAUAUUGGACAAUGGGCGAAAGCCUGAUCCAGCCAUGCCGCGUGUGUGAAGAAGGUCUUCGGAUUGUAAAGCACUUUAAGUUGGGAGGAAGGGCAGUAAGUUAAUACCUUGCUGUUUUGACGUUACCAACAGAAUAAGCACCGGCUAACUUCGUG